CCAAGGCGGACAGUAAAGGACAACGAUAUUUAAUUGUACCGGGUGAGUAACUGUUACAGCAUGGAAUUCGAAAGACAGUGGAGUGGAAGAGGGUAGAGAGAAAAGCGCCAUUUGGGUGAAAUGAGUAAACCUGUGCCACCACUCCAACCAGUGGGUCCGGGUUUGUGGCUGAAGGAGAAGGCAGAGGAGAGAGUGGCUGUGUCACGGUGUUGUUUAUUUCCUGUCUUAUUUUGUCAUUUCUGCUUCUGUUAAGCAGUGUGUGUCUCUUGUCACUUGUCGCGUCAUUGUCGAAUGUCCUGGAUGUUUCUAGAUUCUGCCUGCCUUUUUUCCCUGGUGCCUGUUUGCGUUUUUGCCCCUUGGCCUUUUGCUUUUGGUAUAUUGACUAUUAAAGUCUGCGUGUGAGUCCUGCAUUCCCCGCAUCCCUGACAGAAUGACGCAACCACGAAGGGACUCAGCGGACCCGCUGCCAGAUUACAGAACUGACUACAUGGAUGGGAGGAGCCCGUUCUGGCACCGUAAAACGAACUUUGUAUAUGGUCCCAGGAGUAAUCCUAAAUCCCAGGAGGAGCCCUGGCAAGCGGAAGCAGCAAUCUCCCGUACCCGCUGGGCCGCAGCAAUCUCCCGUAACCGCUGGGCCGCAGCGAUCCCCUGAUCCGGUUCCCUGCCUCGCUCCGCCUACUCGGCCAAUCCCGACCCAGAGACUCGCACCCCUGACCCCCGUACCGGCCCCCUGCCUCGCUCCGCCUACUCGGCCAAUCCCGACCCAGAGACUCGCACCCCCGACACCCGUACCGGCCCCGAGACUCCUGACCCCGACGCCUCCAGUCCCCGGCCCCGAGACUCCUGACCCCGACGCCUACAGUCCCCGCUUCCCGACUCAGGCUCCCUCCCUCUCAUCCCGUGGUACUCUCCCACACUCACUUUGGUGAUUUGAGGGCCGUCUGGGAUCCGGCCCUUGAGGGGGGGGCUAUGCCGAGGGCUGAGCCGGCGACUCGUGGUUUCCAGUGUCCCCCAGCCGGCGACUCCGGAGGUUUCUCGUGUCCCCCAGCCAGCGACUCCGGAGGUUUCCCGUGUCCCCCAGCCAGCGACUCCGGAGGUGUUCCGUGUCCCCGAGCCGGCCAUUCCGGAGGUGUUCCGUGUCCCCGAGCCGGCCAUUCCGGAAGUGUUCCGUGUCCCCGAGCGGCGACUCUGGAGGUGUUCCAUGUCUCCCAGCCGGCUAUUCCGGAGACGUUCAGUGCCCUCCGGAGCCAGAUUGCUGACCGUCCGCCGGGCCAACCCCCGGACUGCCAGAGUUUCCCGGGCGGUCCGACGUCUCUUGUUUCCCUCCCUCCCGCCCCUUUUCCGCUCUCUGCCAGUUUGAGCCGUCUGGAAUUCGUCCGUUCAGGGGGGGGGGGGAAUUGCUCGUCUUGACUCCCACGAAAGACUCUCUAGGCUUUGUCCUGCUCGUCUUCGUCUUUCCCCGUUAUGCAAACGCUGAAGCUAAUCCUUCACUCGACCUCUAGUUAAAUACUCCCUCGUUAGUCGAAGUCGGCUACGGCUGCGCUGACCACUCCCCCGUCGUUUAGGAGACAAAAGGUCGAUUGGCCUCCGCAGAAACUCCUCAAAAUGCAAAACAGCAAUCGCUUGACACCCUAAUGAAGUGAACAAUAACCAUGUGGUGUUUUGACACCACAAAAGUGGAGUUUAAGGAUUCAAGUUUCUUCUGCUUCAGAAGAGAAGGCAAAACAGACUUGGAUUGGGUCAAACCUAGCAAUUAGCAUUACAUUAGUUUUGGUAGGCCGCGCAUGUGUGACGUAAUGUCAUUUUUUUCAGCGAUGGCACGCAAUCGACUGGUACUGCCUUCGCAUACCUCGCACCGGUUUGGGGAAAUCAAACUGUUUUAGGUUUUCCUAAUUAGCUACUCACCACUCCUUGGCUUUGGUUCUUUAGAUACUGCACUGAAAGGCAAUUGUAAAGAAGGGCACACACAGCAGGUGAGUACCAAUUUAGGCAAUGCACAUUCUUUCUUUAAACUUUUGUGUACCCUGCAUUGGUUGACGCUUCGGAAACUACUCCCGCCGGUAGUGUCCGGGUUGCCCGCACCUCCAACACUCCUGCCCUGGCGGUUGAGGAGCCCUCUGUAAGUUGGGGAGAGUGCCGGUCAGGCCGGGUGGAUCAGUACUCCAUUGAAAGGCUGGAUCUCGCGGGGUCGGCAGGGCCCGAGCUGCGACCGGCUGCGGGGCCCUCCUUUGUGGCGUGGGGACGGGCUGUGGUGAUGUGGCCGGCCGACCGCCCUCUCCCGGCCCGCCGGGGUGACCCGCCAGGUGGUCCUCCGCAAGGGUGACGGCGGCCUCCAGCGUCGCCGGCCGGUGGUAACGGACCCAGGCCGCGGUCCGCAGCGGCAGACCCUCCAGUAGCUGUUCCACCACCACCGCCGGCGCUCCUCCCGUGCCCUCCGGCUACAGCCACCUGUUGGCCGCGUCUCUGAGCCUCUGUGCGAACGCGAAUGGGCGGUCCCCCGGCCCCAGCCUCGCCCCUCGAAACCCCGCCAUUGCCUCAAACAUCUCCAGGAACGACUGCACCUCAUCCCCCAGGGUCAUCUUAUGCAGCGUCAUACGGCGGGGAACCCGGCGCCAGCGGGGCCGCAACUGGCCGGGCCGCCAACAGCUCCAUCACAUGGGUUUGCCGGUCCGCCUGUGCCUGCAGCGCCCCCAGGAAAAGCCGGUUGGACUCGGCCUGCUCGCUCUGCAUCGCCGCAAUCUCCCCCAGCAUCCGACCGAGUGUGAUCGCCGGCUGCAUCGGUCCCUCUCCGUCAUCAGGGUUGUCACCUUUUAAGGUUCGUGUAAGGACGCACGGAGACAUGAUUCUUCUGAGGAAUAAGUUUUAUUUAUUUUCUCGCAGUGAGCAGGUUUCGCGUAGUUGUCCUCGUCCACUCCGCUCCUCUCCUCUCCUCGGCCUUGCCCCUGAGCGUCUGCUGCAGAGUCUCCCUUUUCUCUCCAGGUCCUGCUCACUGCUUUUCAUGGGACAAACAAUCAGUUCUGAUCACUUCCACCUGUGCUCCUUACUCUCCUGCCGUCACCGUCCCCGGAACCACUCACCCGCUCUCCCCCCUGCAGCUGAGCUAACCACACCCCGCCACAGCAACAAUAUUUAAAACUGCCCAUCAGUAACUAACAUUCACACACUGUAGUCAAAGCUACAGGAGCAAUGUUGAUUUAAGUGUCUUGCCCAAGGACAUUGCCGGUUUAGCCGGGCCUGGGAUCAAACCGCCAACCCUGUGAUUGGAGAACCUUGCUCCCCACUCACCCACAGUCGCCCCCUCUUAUCUAUCUUUUAUGGUAGCUACAAUGGCAGCAUCUCAGAAUUCCUGUCGCCAUUUGCAAAGUAGAACUCUUACUUCCUCUCCAUGUUCAUUUGCACUUCUGCAUCGUCUGUGGUUGUUGCCUCUUGGUUGCUAGCUUCAAGGUCUGACAUUCUUCUCCACCACUGAUUAACAAAGUAAAAAACUGGAGGCAUAUUUAAUAUUAUAAAGCAUCAUCUCCCUCAGUCUUCAUUGUUAUCACUGUCCAUUGUGGGUGAAUUGAGAGCUUGAUUGUCCUUCAAUUAGAGGAUUGGCGGUGCAUCCCCAGUACCACUACUCCAGAUGUGUGUCCUUUGGACAAGACGCUUAACUUUGCUUUAUGUGUGCAUGGUGUGAAUGUUAGAUACUAAUGGGUAGGUGCACUGUUCAUGGUACCUCAUGUAAUCACUGUAUGAAUGGUUGAAUGAUGACAUGGAGUUUAAAGAAAUAUGACUUAUGUGUCUUUCGUAUUUAAGAUGAGCUAGGAAACAAACUGGUGUGCAUGUUCAGAGAGGACAACAGCUCCCAUGUGAUAAACCCUCAAAGACGGGCAGGGGCUUCAAAUGAAAAAUCCUGUAAAAGAAGGGUAAAGGAGUGCAGAGGGAAAAAAACAACUCACUGACAAGCAGUUUGUGUAACAAUGUACCGCCUGCCGGGGUUUUAAAAGAUUAAAAUGUCUGAGGUUCAUUUUUUAUAUUCCCGCUCAUUAGGACAUGUGUGACUUCUCAUUGUCAGGAGCGUUUGAAACUGUUACAUUUUGUUCCCGUUGAUAGCAAUCUGCAUUUUUCUUUGGUGAAACAUCUUGUUAUAUGUGUCACUACAAAGGAUCUUUUUUUCUGAAAUCCUUUCUGUUGCACUUCUCCUUCCCCUGUACUACCAAACCCAGGAUAUGUUUCUGCUGGAUCCCAGGCAGUUAUAUUUGUCCCCACUGUCUUAGCUAAAAGGAGAUACAGUAAGUACCAUGUGGUUGCACUUAUAUCCAUAGAAUAAAGGAUAGAACACAUGAGGUGCAGUCAGUCUAGAUCCUUGACCAAAGAACAGAAGAUAUAUCAUACCUGCAACAUUGAUCUGUCAGGUAAAAUGAAUACUGUUGUGAAGAUGACAUCUCAUCCUUAAUACUGUCGCUGGUCUCUGGUGGGAUCCACUUCAGCAGAACCUCAUUAAAGGAACACAGGGGUGGAGAUGGAAGGAGAGGUUACAAGAGGCUGUUUGUGUGUUUUCCACUAACCUCUGUAUAGACAAACACAACACAACAUGCUGUAACUGUAAUUGGUCAUAUUAAAUCAAUCAGGUAAAUAGAAUAACCUGAAUUUAUUUUUGCCUUUGAAGGUUUGGGUCAAAAUUCAACAAAAAAAGAGAACCCGAGACGACAAAAAGGAAAUCAUUCUUCAAGCCACAGGACUCGAGCUUGUUGGCAAACUUUUUACUCUUGUAAUGUUCUCCCCAUUUAUAUCUGACAUUAAUAUUCAGAUCAAGAAAAGGUUUAAAGCCGGGUUGGUAAGUUGGUACCUCUUUCGUUCCUGUGACACAUUUGAAUUAAAAUCAUAAGGCACCAAAUAUACCCUGUUACACGGACAAUGUGCACCAUCUACAGGUUAUGUUGUCAUGCUGAAUUCAUGGUAUGUUUAUUUUAUUCAGACUGAUGUUUCUGCAAUUAAAAGAAACAAACAUCAUAUCUUGCCUCUUUGUCGCAAUUGCUGUUUGAUAUGUUACAGCAUUGUUGCACUGUGAUGGUGUGCUGUAAUUGUGAGAAAGCUACUAAAUGGGCUUUGGCCAUAGACUUAAAAAAAAGUUUGACAGAGCAUUGGAGGGAGGGCCAUGUUCAUUCCUGUGAAAGUUGCUAAGUGGCCUCUGUAUAUAAAAGCUCAGUAGCAAGAUAUGGAAGAGAUGUCACAUGAAUUGUUUGCUCCCAAUGGCAGGGUUAUGUUUUGUAAUGGAAGCACUUUUGAUGUUCUGACCUGGGUGGAGACCAUCCAGGAAUGUGUCAUACAUGUUGGUGAAGUUUGUGUUUGUGUCCCGUCUUACGUCUGAUUUUGAUACUUCCUGUUUUAUUGUGGCGUCUAAACCCCCUCUCGUUGCAGGUGCCUUGCCCUUCCUCAGGUGUCUCCUGUCGAUUAUCUCCCCUGAUUCCUAAUUGUCUCCUCCUGUUCCCUCACCUCCCUCAUGGAUACUUAUUGUCUGCGUCUCCCUUUGUCCUGUGCCAGUGUGUCUUGUAGUCGUGCAUGUCCACACCCGCGUUCGUGUUGGUUUGUGAAAGGAUCUUUGCAUAUGGUAUUAUUAGAUAUAGGAAUAAUUGUACUACUGGAUCAUUGGAAUAAAUCUAUAGCAGUCAAACCUCUCUGCGUCCUUGUCCUCCUCCCCGGCUCCGGCCUCAUUGACAGAAUGGAGACUUUACUUUAACUGGCCAACUUGUUAUCUGUCUGUCCAUUUGCCAAACUGCUGGUUUGUAUGCGAUUGGGAAUCAUGGCUAUAAAUAGUGGCUAUGAGCAUAUACAUCAAGCAGCACUUCCAUCAGGGAAACCAACUAAUUAUUGUAGUGUGUGCCUUAGGUCUAAAACAAGCAAAUAUACAUAUCAGAAGACAUAUGCGGAGGGUUGAUGUACAUCAAAUGAUACCAAUUCUAUUAAGCCUACUGAUUGCCUCUUUGGCAGCUAUGAAAGCAAUUUAGAAAGAAAAUAAAGAAUGGUUUUGUUCCAUGCCAUGUGCCUGGGACUUUUAUUCAGGGGCUCCAGAAAACAAAGAUGCCUGGGUGGAUAUGGCUCAAUGGCUCUUGGUGUUUUUGUCUUUGAAUGUUAAUUGCUCAGAUCUUAAGUCGAUUAUUGGUGUAACACCUAAUUGUGCAAAUUUAUUGGACAGUAAACUAAAGUUGUGUCUCCCUGAAAGUCGUGCGGUAGUUAUAAGAACACAUCGAGGUGUAACUGCAACUAAUCUGAUUGAUUAAAAAAGAGCCUUUGAGAGGACCAGGGAGAGAGUUUAUUCAGCCCAGUGACGCAUUGAACUAAUUAGCAAGAGUAUUUUAGAGGGAAGACAUUGCUGAGGAAUUCUGAUCAUCACUCAUGGCCCUGUCUCUGUAGUUAAAUGAAGUGUCAUCUGUCAUGCAUACGCAUGCGAAGAGAGGACUAGGUUGGAGGUUCGUUUGUCAGCCGGCAUUCAGGACACUCAUUAUCUCGCUAAAGUGAUGUUCAUGUUUAAAAAUGAAUUCAUUUUUUAUUCCUCCCUCUCAAACCUCAGUUAAAAGGGACUGCCACGUUGGCAUCAGAUCUCAGUCCAAUUUUACUGGCCUGGGAGACUCUCUCUUUUCUUACUCUUUCUCCUCCAUCAUUCCAUCCCCCAUUUUUUUUCCACCUCCCUCCUAAAAAAACCCCCAUUCAUCAUUUUAUCUCCUGACCACAGUCAUCAAUGAAAACAUGCUGGUGCGUCCGUGCCUAUGCCAAGACAAUUAUGCCGAUGGCGCCUUCAAAGAGUUUUAUGAAUUCCAGCUCUCGUUGUGCCUGGCGGGAGGGAGGCAGGGAGGGAGCCGGAGACUGGGCCAGCACCGGGUGAAGGAGACACAGUUUGAGCAUGCUGAAGAUUUUCUGAUGAUCCACCAUAUUGCUGCUCCAUGGAUGGAGGUAAAUUGCAGCCAUGUGGUCCUAAGCAUAUUAAACUCUUUUAUAGAGUCUGAGCCUUGCUUAAUCAAGUGAAAAGUGCUGUGGGGGUCAAGCAGGGAUCAUUAAACGUCUCUGCUGCUGCUUAUCCCUCCAGAACAUAGCCUGAAAGGACAGCUAUAGAGAAGGAAGAAAAGAAACCAAAGAAACAUAAAGCUUCAGGAGAUCUCUCAUACAUGCUCCCAAGUGAGCUUGCAAACACUCCCUUUCAGAAUUUUAUUUUUCAGUUGAAAAGUCAAUGCUGUUCACCCAAGACGACAAGCAUUGUGUUUUUGCGUCCAACAAUCGAGUUUCAAAUUAAAUUGGCAAUACAAAUUUCACAAUUAUAUGUCGCUGUUCA
ensembl:lncRNA